rnacentral:rRNA from 1 species
UACGAAGGGGGCUAGCGUUGUUCGGAUUUACUGGGCGUAAAGCGUGCGCAGGCGGUUUUGUAAGACAGAUGUGAAAUCCCCGGGCUCAACCUGGGAACUGCGUUUGUGACUGCAAGACUCGAGUGCGGCAGAGGGGGGGUGGAAUUCCACGUGUAGCAGUGAAAUGCGUAGAGAUGUGGAGGAACACCGAUGGCGAAGGCAGCCCCCUGGGUCGACACUGACGCCUCAUGCACGAAAGCGUGGGGAGCAAACAGG